UUUAAUUGAAGAGUUUGAUCAUGGCUCAGAUUGAACGCUGGCGGCAGGCCUAACACAUGCAAGUCGAGCGGCAGCGCAAGGGAGUUUACUUCUGAGGCGGCGAGCGGCGGACGGGUGAGUAAUACCUAGGGAUCUGCCCAGUCGAGGGGGAUAACAGUUGGAAACGACUGCUAAUACCGCAUACGCCCUACGGGGGAAAGAAGGGGACCUUCGGGCCUUUCGCGAUUGGAUGAACCUAGGUGGGAUUAGCUAGUUGGUGAGGUAAUGGCUCACCAAGGCGACGAUCCCUAGCUGUUCUGAGAGGAUGAUCAGCCACACUGGGACUGA
rnacentral:rRNA from 1 species